rnacentral:rRNA from 1 species
GACGAACGCUGGCGGCGUGCUUAACACAUGCAAGUCGAACGGUAAGGCCCUUCGGGGUACACGAGUGGCGAACGGGUGAGUAACACGUGGGUGAUCUGCCCUGCACUUCGGGAUAAGCCUGGGAAACUGGGUCUAAUACCGGAUAGGACCCUGGGAUGCAUGUCCUGGGGGGGAAAGCUUUUGCGGGGUGGGAUGGGCCCGCGGCCUAUCAGCUUGUUGGUGGGGUGAUGGCCUACCAAGGCGACGACGGGUAGCCGGCCUGAGAGGGUGACCGGCCACACUGGGACUGAGAUAAGGCCCAGACUCCUACGGGAGGCAGCAGUGGGGAAUAUUGCACAAUGGGCGCAAGCCUGAUGCAGCGACGCCGCGUGAGGGAUGACGGCCUUCGGGUUGUAAACCUCUUUCAGCACCGACGAAGCGCAAGUGACGGUAGGUGCAGAAGAAGGACCGGCCAACUACGUGCCAGCAGCCGCCGUAA